UGGCUCAGAAUGAACGCUGGCGGCGUGCUUAAAACAUGCAAGUCGCACGAGAACACCUCAGCUUGCUGGGGUAAGUAAAGUGGCGCACGGGUGAGUAACGCGUGGGUAAUCUGCCCCUGAAUCUGGGAUAACGCUGCGAAAGCGGUGCUAAUACCGGAUGACAUCGAAUUGACUUCGGUUGAUUGGAUCAAAGGUAGCCACUCCAUGGAAGCUACUGUUUGGGGAUGAGCCCGCGUACCAUUAGCUUGUUGGUAGGGUAACGGCCUACCAAGGCGACGAUGGUUAGCUGGUCUGAGAGGAUGAUCAGCCACACUGGAACUGGAACACGGUCCAGACUCCUACGGGAGGCAGCAGUGAGGAAUUUUGCGCAAUGAGGGAAACCUUGACGCAGCAACGCCGCGUGAGUGAUGAAGGCUUUCGGGUCGUAAAGCUCUGUCAAGUGGGAAGAAAUCCCGGGAAGUGAACAGUUCUUCGGGUUGACGGUACCACUGAAGGAAGCACCGGCUAACUCCGUGCCAGCAGCCGCGGUAAUACGGAGGGUGCGAGCGUUAUUCGGAAUUACUGGGCGUAAAGGGCGCGCAGGCGGUCAUGUAAGUCAGAUGUGACAGCCCGGGGCUAAACCUGGAAGUGCCUUUGAAAACUGUGUGACUUGAGUAUG
rnacentral:rRNA from 1 species